rnacentral:rRNA from 1 species
UACGUAGGGGGCAAGCGUUGUCCGGAUUUAUUGGGCGUAAAGAGCGUGUAGGCGGCUUCACAGGUCCGCUGUGAAAACUCGAGGCUCAACCUCGAGAUGUCGGUGGAAACCGUGUGGCUAGAGUCCGGAAGAGGAAAGUGGAAUUCCUGGUGUAGCGGUGAAAUGCGUAGAUAUCAGGAGGAACACCGGUGGUGUAGACGGCUUUCUGGACCGUAACUGACGCUGAGACACGAAAGCGUGGGUAGCAAACAGG